GAGUUUCGCACAGUCCUUCUGACAAGUGCAAGAUAGCCAGUGGGAAUGAGACCUGUAAUUAAUGCGUUGAAUGCUCAGUGCAAGCAAAAGGCUCUUGGAUGAAGAAGCUCUUCUGGGUCUGUCAGGCGUCUGACAAGAGGACAAACAGUGUUAGCUGGAAUGGUGGAAUCUGUGAUAUGUGAUACAUUUAAUGCAAGUUCCAGGACUGAGUGACUACACUUUGAGUGGUGAUAGCACACAUUGUAUUUCCGGUUACCUGAUCAUCCUUCACUGCCUUGUAGUCACAGCACCAGCCACACCACCAGUGAAGCUGCCUGGCUCCUGCUGAACUCAGCUGGAUGGAUAUCCCAAAAGCCAGGUAGGACCUCUUUGAAUGGUUUCCUAGCAGAGUUUGCCAGAAAGAAGGAAAGAAGUUACUUUCUUGAUGUAAAAGCUGCUUUUCUAUUACCUCUCCUGUUUUUCAGGGAACAGUGGAAGUGGAAAAAAAUUAAA